AAGGGGCAGUAAGGCGUGGGUACCUACCCCGGGGUCCGGGAUAGCCGUCCGAGAGGGCGGGUAAUACCGGAUGACCUCGGGAGAGCAAAGAUUUAUCGCCCCGGGCGGGGCCCACGUGAUAUUACCUGGUUGGCGGGGUAACGGCCCACCAAGGGGGAGAUGUCUAGCGGGUGUGAGAGCACGACCCGCGCCACUGGCACUGAGACACUGGCCAGACACCUACGGGUGGCUGCAGUCGAGGAUCUUCGGCAAUGGGCGCAAGCCCGACCGAGCGAUGCCGCGUGUGCGACGAAGGCCUUCGGGUUGUAAAGCACUGUCGAGGGGGAGAAACGCCGCAAGGCUUGAUCUAUCCCUGGAGGAAGCUCGGGCUAAGUUCGUGCCAGCAGCCGCGGUAAGACGAACCGAGCGAACGUUGUUCGGAAUCACUGGGCUUAAAGGGCGCGUAGGCGGACUGCCGCGUCCGGGGUGAAAUCCUCCGGCUCAACCGGGGAAGGGCCUCGGAUACGGGCGGUCUGGAGGGGGGUAGGGGCGUGCGGAACUGUGGGUGGAGCGGUGAAAUGCGUUGA
rnacentral:rRNA from 1 species